GCACAACACACACAUACACACCUCUCGGUUUCCCUCUCUCCCUCGUUAACUUCCGGUGACCGGAGCCAAGCUCCGGCGUCUCAGACUUCAGGCGACAAGGUUAAUCACACCCACACCCCUGUAACACAAUAACUACACACCUUCCUUCUUCACUUACACCCACCUCCACCCUGCAAUUCGAUGAACGGCCACCACCAUCACCGUCUGGUGGCGGCGGCACACGACGGCGACGUAGACGACAGGGAGAGAGACAGAAAGGAAAGGAGCCGGCGAGCUCCGGCGAGUUGCGGCGCGACAACGACAGUGCCGCCGUGAGCGGCGGUGGUUCUGUUUUCCCUCGCUCGCUUUGUCUUCGAAGAUUCUGCCAGGGCAGUCGAGGUUCGCCGGAGAUCGGAAUUCUUUUCGGAUUCACCCCCUUUCUUUCGGAAUCGCAAACGCAACUACUCAUAAUCUCGAGUCUUCAUCAACUCCACUCUCGGUUUUCGUGGAACUCUAUGCAAAACAGUUGAUAGUCAAGAUGUUGAAGAAUCAAGUUAGGAUGGACUAGAUACCCAUUUUAAUAAUAAACCAUGUUUAUGAAGUAUUUGAAGUAAAGUUUGGAGAUGUUCUUGGGGAUGAACCAGAUUCAAAUUCUGAUUUUUCUAAAAGCUCUUUUUGUAUUUUUCUGAGUAUACAUUGGAAGUUUUUGAUUGAUAAUAAGGUUUGUUUGUUAUAAAUUAAAUUCAAAACAUGGCUGGGAUCAAUUGCUUCAUUAUGCAUUAACAAAUAUAAUUAACUGAGUACAAGGACAAAAAUAAAUGAGUUGCUUUGGGUUAUUAUUGAUCUCAAGCAAGUUGAUUGGUUUGAAAGUGACCCUAAGCAUCUUUAAUUGCUUAUAAUAUUUUGUGAUGACAUAAGAUAUAUUUUAUUCUUGUAAAAAAUGUAUAAUGAUUCGUUGUUUAAUAAAAUGUGGUAUGUAAAAUUUCUAAAAACUACCCGUGUUUUUACACGGGUUUUACAUCUAGUGUAUGACAUUACGUGAGAAGAUACUGUCAUGCACUCCUUACUGAAUCAGGUAUAAUGCUUUAGCAUCCUUCUUCUUGUUCUCCUCCAUUUGCGCUUUUGUUCCUACUGCUGGAAGAUAACCAAUCUCCACAUAUCCCACAAGUCUUGAGACAGCAACAACAUCUUCAUCUGAAUGCUCAUAAUUCAUGCCCAUCGCCUUUGAAGAUUGGAACAUUGGAUUGAUUUCCUGAUACUGUUGUUGUCGCCAUUGUAGUGAUGCCUCUCACACUCUCAGAACGAGAACCUGUGCACUGAACCAAAAUCUUGGUAAUAUCAUAAAUCAAGUGACACUUAAUAUUGUUGGAUCUGGAUAAUUUUAUUCAUCAUACUUGAACCUUAAAUACCCAAAAGAAAGAAAACCGCAAAACACACCAUGACCCACGUACAAACCAUGCAGACUUAAAUAAAAACCUACCGACUACUUGACAUCAUGGACUGCUGACUACUACUCUACCGGGUUACAACCCAACGACUCUUUUCUAGAAUAUGACACAAAAAGACAAAACUACCCUUAAUGAAAUAAACAAAUGCAUUAACUCGAAAAACAUAAAGGACACCAUGCAGAUUGUGGAUUAGCUUCAACAUUAUUUUAAUCAAUAUGGAUAAAUUUGGGAAAUGAGAUGUGAUAGAUUUCAAUUAUUAGGAUUAAUGUGUUUUAUAGCUAAAUUAUAGAGAUGGAGAUACAAAACCGAUGUGAAUGCUUUUAGUUUUUCGCUAACGAUCUUGUUGAGUUCUACUAGAAAGAGUGUUAAUAUUUUUUUGUCAUUCAUGUUUUUAUUUAUAAAAUAAUAUGAUUGAUUGAUAAUUU
rnacentral:lncRNA from 1 species